rnacentral:rRNA from 1 species
AGUGAACGCUGGCGGUAGGCCUAACACAUGCAAGUCGAACGGCAGCACAGUAAGCGCUUGCUCUUACGGGUGGCGAGUGGCGGACGGGUGGGAAAUACAUCGGAACCUACUUUUUCGUGGGGGAUAACGUAGGGAAACUUACGCUAAUACCGCAUACGACCUACGUGUGAAAGCAGGGGAUCUUCGGACCUUGCGCGAUUGAAUGAGCUGAUGUCGGAUUAGUUAGUUGGCGGGGUAAAGGCCCACCAAGGCGACGAUCCGUAGCUGGUCUGAGAGGAUGAUCGGCCACACUGGAGCUGAGACACGGCCGAGAAUACUACGGGAGGCAGCAGUGGGGAAUAUUGGACAAUGGGCGCAAGCCUGAUCCAGCCAUACCGCGUGGGUGAAGAAGGCCUUCGGGGUGUAAAGCCCUUUUGUUGGGAGAGAAAAGCAGCAGGUUAAUACGCCGCUGUUCUGACGGUACCCAAAGAAUAAGCACCGGCUAACUACGUG